rnacentral:rRNA from 1 species
UACAGAGGGUGCGAGCGUUGUCCGGAAUGACUGGGCGUAAAGGGCGCGUAGGCGGACGGCUUUGUCGGGCGUGAAAUUCCAGGGCUCAACCUUGGGGCUGCGUUCGAGACGGGUUGUCUAGAGUUUGGGAGAGGGUCGUGGAAUUCCCAGUGUAGAGGUGAAAUUCGUAGAUAUUGGGAAGAACACCGGUGGCGAAGGCGGCGACCUGGUCCAUGACUGACGCUGAGGCGCGAAAGCGUGGGGAGCAAACAGG